AAACAGUCUGCAACUAUAUUAAUAAGUGACAAAUGCAAGGGCCUGGGUGCAAAACGACCAACCCUGGCCUACCCUGUCCACUUGGCACGCUGUGAAUGGCUAUGGAUUAAAAAUGCACAAAACUUCCAAGUUGUAGGACUAAAUAGGUGUACUUUACAAGUUGUAGGACCAAACCAUCACAUGUGUUGAAGUUCUAGGACUUGGGGUACUAUUACCUCAGCCAUCUCACAUCGAGGCAGAGGGGACCCGUCACCAGCCUAGAUCAGAUUGCCAUGCCCAGAUGCACGUCCACGCACCAUCACACAGAUGGAUCGUUGGGAUCUCCCCGUGCUAGCGGAGGCGUCCAGCCCCGAUCUGUCCACGAAUCAUGCCGCUCAACAUCAGCCUGAGUGCUCCGCCUCGCCGCGCCGCCACCGGCCAGCAUGCUCCGCCGCACCAUACCGUUAUCGGCCUUCACGCGCACCGCCGUGCCUCGCCGCGCCUACAAAUCGGCGCGCCGACCGGCACUGAGCCCCGCCGCCAAACGAGAAACAGCGCCGGCCCGAGAGAGCGCCCCGCCACAGCCGUCGACAACGGGGGCUCCGCCCGGUGGCGUCCUCUGGCGGCGGCAUGGCAAAAGUGAGAGGGCAAGGGCGAUGGCGGCGCUAGGGUGAAGACGCGCCCGUAUCGCCCUGUACAGGACGAUGUGGGGCCCGAUCCGAGAGAGAGAGUAUCAUGGCAGGAGCUGAAGCGCUGAAAUACAGACAAUUUUGAAGAGUGGGAGAUGGAGAACAAAUAAAGAUAUGGGAGGAUGCAUGUAUUCCUCGUCUCCUUCUAGAAUGGCAAUAUUAGCGAGGGGGUAAUUCUAUCUGGGGUUUGUGAGCUCAUAGACCUAGCUACAUGUCAUUGAGAUGAACAACUAAUUAUGCAAACUUUCUGGUACGUGGAUGCUUAGUGAAUACUUGCUAUCCUCCUACCUUUGCAUGAGACGAGAGAUUUCAUGGCUUGGAAUCCAACAAAAAUUGAUGUCUUUACAGUGUGUGUGACUUACCAUUUAGAAUGGGAGUUCCAGUUUGAUAAUAAGCUGCAAAAUACUAUUGGAUCCUCGGUUGAAGAAGAUAUUUGGCAUUCGGUA